rnacentral:misc_RNA from 1 species
GAUGAAGAACGUAGCGAAAUGCGAUAAGUAAUGUGAAUUGCAGAAUUCAGUGAAUCAUCGAAUCUUUGAACGCACAUUGCGCCCGCCAGUAUUCUGGCGGGCAUGCCUGUUCGAGCGUCAUUUCAACCCUCAAGCACAGCUUGGUGUUGGGACUCGCGUUAAUUCGCGUUCCCCAAAUUGAUUGGCGGUCACGUCGAGCUUCCAUAGCGUAGUAGUAAAACCCUCGUUACUGGUAAUCGUCGCGGCCACGCCGUUAAACCCCAACUUCUGAAUGUUGACCUCGGAUCAGGUAGGAAUACCUGCUGAACUUAAGCAUAUCAAUAAGCGGAGGA